GUGCUCUCUUCGGCAGCAUAUACACUAAAACUGGAACGAUAGAGAAGAUUAGCAUGGCCCCUACACAAGGAUGACAUGUAAAUUCAUGAAGUGUUCCGUAUUUUU